AACACGGCGUGUUGGAAUGAUGAUUACAAAUAAUUUCAAAAGAGAGAUCUUGUUGAAGCCAUCAAAGUGCGUCGCCGUUUACAAAUCGAGACAUUUGAUUGGCGCCAUUUGCUUCCGCACAAUUGAUGCGCUGUUGCUGAAAAGAAAGAAAACCAAAAUGCUGUGCUGCAAUGGCCAACAAUUUCUUUUGUUUUCAAUUGUUGCAAUUGUACAGCCGCCGCCUGGGAUCUUUCACAAAAUUUACGCAGUCUGAGUGUGUGCUGGAAUGUUGAUGGAUCUUCCCACAUCAUCAUCUUCCUUUUGUCCGCGAACAGGAACUGGUCACAGUUUAAAGACCGAGUCAAGUCGGCUGGCGGCUGGCGGCUGACGCUGAAGUUUCUUUUAUACGUUGCUGUUGCCUCUUUGUUUUUGGUAUUUCUUAAUUUUGCGCCUGAUAUCAAAGUGUAUGUUGCAUAUGUAUAUGUAUGUAUGUACGAUGCUUUGCGUUUGCAGUUGCCUUUUUGUGUUGUGUAAACAGAAAUUGCCAGCGACAAACAGACAAACAGACAGGCAACAACCAACAACUGUUCAGGCCUUACAGCAGCAGCAGCAACAACAAUAACAACAACAGCAACAAUCCAGGCAACAUCUGUCGCCCAUCAUCUAAACCAUGUCCAAUGCUCUCCCAACGUCCAAUUGGUUAGCCAUGUUACGCUGGCUUUACUGUCGCCUCCCUGCCAAAUAGUUGGCAUAG